GGAGAUAUCGCAACCAGCUCUUGACCCAAAUUCAACAGAGAUACAUCAUAGAAUUACAAUUAGAGCUAGAAACAAGCAAGUUCACAGGUGAUAUAUCAUCAGAGACUAUACGUAUGCACUUAAUCAUCAAUCAUUAUCGUACUAACAAUGAAUGUUUUCAUUGGUGCAGAGGAGUUUAUGAACGUAGGGGAAGUACACGGUGUUCAGAUGCAAGUGAAAGGCC
rnacentral:lncRNA from 1 species